rnacentral:rRNA from 1 species
AACGAACGCUGGCGGCAUGCCUAACACAUGCAAGUCGAACGAGACCUUCGGGUCUAGUGGCGCACGGGUGCGUAACGCGUGGGAACCUGCCCUUAGGUUCGGAAUAACUCCCCGAAAGGGGUGCUAAUACCGGAUAAUGUCUUCGGACCAAAGAUUUAUCGCCUUUGGAUGGGCCCGCGUUGGAUUAGCUAGUUGGUAGGGUAAAAGCCUACCAAGGCGACGAUCCAUAGCUGGUCUGAGAGGAUGAUCAGCCACACUGGGACUGAGACACGGCCCAGACUCCUACGGGUGGCAGCAGUGGGGAAUAUUGGACAAUGGGCGAAAGCCUGAUCCAGCAAUGCCGCGUGAGUGAUGAAGGCCUUAGGGUUGUAAAGCUCUUUUACCCGGGAUGAUAAUGACAGUACCGGGAGAAUAAGCGCCGGCUAACUCCGUG